rnacentral:lncRNA from 1 species
AGCUCCAGGUAUGAAGCUAAGGUUUGUCUUCUCCCAGGAGGUGGCAGCAGCAGCAGGCUCAGCCUGCUGGAGAAUCAGACAGAACUCAUCUGUUUUUCUGUUGGCAUCCAAACCUAAAAAUGCCUGGUUCCAGAGACCAUUUUAUCCCUUCUUCGGUUUGCUGAGCUUGGUUGGAGACAGGGCAUAGGGAAGGAGCUGGCACAGAUUCCUCUCUAUAAGUACCUAUUUUUUUUGGUAAAUAUUUUGAUCUGGGCUGUGACCUUGAAGCAUGUGUGAAGGAGGGUCAGGAAGUCUCUGGUCAGAGAAAAAGAGCUUCAGAGAGAAACAAACAGUAAUUGAAACACUUACAUCCGUACUAGUGUACAUCCAGAGGACACCAGCUUACUGUUUGGUGCCACAUACAAAAAAAUAUAGACUCUGACCUCUUCCCAGCUACCAGCCAGCUGACCUUGUCAUUGAAUCUGUCGGAGCUGCAAUAUCCUUGUCCACCUACGGGUUUCUGAUGAGAAUAUUAGCAUAGGAAAUAUGCUGGUUAAAAAAAAGAGAAUUAAGGACCUGGGUUCCAGACUCAGAUCUCCCAGUGUGGAUCAGGAGAUCCUAAAGCACCUGCUAAUUCUUUUCUUUCCUUCUUCUUCUUUUUUUUUUUUUUUUUGGUAUCAGUAUUGAACCUAGGGGGCACUUAACCAUUGAGCAACAUCCCCACUCCCUUUUUAUAUUUUAUUUAGAGACAGGGUCUCACUGAGGUGCUUAGGCCUUGCUAAAUUACUGAGACUGCCUCCUGCCCCAGCCUCCCCGGUUGCUGGGAUUACAGGCAUGCAGCAGCACCUGCUAAUUCUUAAUUUAUAAGUUACUGCACCUUUAUUUUCUGGAUUAAGUGGGGCUGGGUCUUCACCCUUUCAGUAUUUUUAAAAUCUCAGACACAACAAACCUUUGCUGGUUCCAAGUUAAUUCCAGUUGAGCACAAACCCUAGUUUGGCAGAUUCUGCCAGCUGCAUAGGAGGUGGGCAGAAAUCCCAGGAAACGUCUGGACACCACACAGCUAUGGAUGAACUGUCAGCUGCUAGGUGCUACUUUGUAAAUUACCCCAUCUAAAUGAAGCUAACAAAAUGAUAUUUCAAAAGAGCAAUUAACACUGAUUCCUAGUGUAUUUGAAAUUAAAAGGCCUUUGGGGAAGAGUGACAUUGGCUCUAAAAAAAAAAGAGUAUCCCAGGCCUCUGGGUAGAAAUGUUUAGUUUAAGGAGAUUGUUUAGUUGGGACCUUUCUAUGCUUUUCUUCCAUCACCACAGCCAGAGGGUCAGCCUGGUCUUUGUGAAGAAUAAGGUAAAACUAGUUCCUCUUUUCCCCCCACUACUUCAUCCUGUUUGCUCUGAUUCAUGUUGCUUGCUUCAAACUCCCAUCUAUUAAUUCAAUAAACACUUAUUAGGCACCUCCCAUUUCCCAGGUUCUGGGAAUAUACCUGGCUACUAAGGAGGUUAGGUGAAUAGUCAGAUACUAAAAGAAGUAAUAUAUAUUCAGAAGGGGAUGGCAAAAAAAAAAAAACCAUAAUAUUAGUGGUUGUAGAAGUAGCAUUAUCCUUGUAAGUACAGAGGCUGAAUAUAAGCUGAAUGACAGCUAUCUCUAUGAUAUAGUAGAAUCAUCUAGAAAUAAUCCCAUAGUCCUACCAGGUUUUUCCCCUGUGGGUUUGUAAAGGUAAUCUUUUCUUUUCUUUCUUUCUUUUUUUUUCCCCCAAAUCCAAGGUGUCAGAAUCCCUUCUGGAUUAGGAGCUUUGGCUCCCAAAAGCCACUGUAAAUGGAAACAUGAAUAUAUUACCUGGCAUGAAAGGACCAGACUAACUGGGAAAGCUUCCUCCUCUACCUGUUCCCUGUAAGAAUAUUAGUACAGGUGAUAGGCAGGUUAAAUGUCUCGGUGUUACUAACCACAGGGAACUGUAGAGCGACAGAGAUAAGAGAGCUCGGUGAUGAUAGCAGAUUCCAAACAGCUCCACACUUGAACUGGGAACCUAGAAGGCAAAUCAGGCAGCAAGGGGACACAGAGCUGCCCAGGUCAGCAAGAGAUGAGCAAGAAGACUACAGCAAACAAGCAAAAGGGAAGCAAACCAUGUCUCCUGAUUCUUCCACAUGCGAGAUCACUCUGAGGUCAAAUGAAAUUUGCCAUCAAAAAUAUACCAGAUGCCCUCAUGUUGUUGGAAUCAAAUCAUUUCUCAAAUGCAAAUUUUUAUAGAGGGCUUUUUUAUCAUGUUGAUAAUUUUAAUUUAUUUUCUACGUGUACAUUUUCGAAUAAGUUCUAAAUGUCCCAUUCUUCCCAGCUACACAACCAAUUAAUAGCAAGGCAGUUACUAAAUACAUAGCACAAAGUUUGAGAAGCUCUGACCUUUGGCUUAAUUUUAUCCAACUUAAUAUUUGGGUUACUGCAUUCAUAGGCCAAAAACUAGCCAGCAUUACAAUGGAAUUCUCUGGAGAGCACAUUCAAUAGUGAAGCCCGGAAGUAACAGUUCUCACUCUUAGCCCAGCAUUGGAAUCAACUCCCACAUCACACCCCAAACCAAUUUCAUAUUAGAGGUAGGGCUUAGGCCUUGAUGUAUUGUUUUGAACAUCCUCUAAAUACUUCCAUGUACAGCCAAGGCUGAGAAUCUUCCUGCCUUAGAAUGAGCAGACAGGAAGCUGCUAGUUGCUUCUUCCAUCAGGAUUCUUCCAUUAUCAGUUUCUCCCAAGGAGCCAGCAUCAGGAAACCAGGAUGUCCAGCUUGGACAUCACUUUCAAAGGUGUCCAUGUCGACUUUUCCGCCUCAUUCACCAGCUCUACAGUGACAUAAAGGGUUGUGAACAGGAGUUCAUCGUGUUUCAGAGAGAACAAUCGCCAUGCUCCAGGGAUCCCACACGGUCUUCAAAGCAAACAAGUACUUAAAAAAAGAAAUCCUCCAUGCGUCUCUGUCUUUUCCCUCUCCUCCUCUGUACCCAUCUUUCUCCUCCCCCAUCUCUUCCUACCCGGCUGUCUCCUUCACCUGCUCUGGAGGCUCAUCACUGUCCUUCUGUGUCCUUCCUCUCACUCCUGGUUCAUCCUCCACUGCUAUCUGGGCCUCCCUGUUCUUUCUGUAUCUGUCUCGGUUUCUUUUACUCUCUAUUCUCUUCCCACAGCACACAACUUUCUUCUCUAUUUUAUCAUCUUUCCCUUACAGCUCCUUAAUUAACACAGAAAAAAGGCCUUGGCAGAUAUUUAUAAUUAUUAAGCUAUUUUGUUAAUUUUAAAAGCAGAUAAGUACUGACAAUGUAUUUCACUCAUCAAAGAGAUAAAAAAUGCUCAUAAAAUACAAACCAUAAUGUGUGUGUGUGUGUGUGUAUUUUUUUUUUCCAGUACUGGGAGUAGAACCCAUAGCCUCACACAGGCUAGGCAAGCAAUCUACCACUGAGCCACAUUUCCAGCCCUAUAAUAAUUAUUUUAAUAACUUCCUAUAUUGGCCCUAGGUUACUUUUUUCAUGUAGUUCAUUGACCCUCAAUAGAAAAAUGAUUCUCUGUUCUCCAAUAAUUCUGACAGCAGCAGCUGACAUCAAUGUAGAAAGAGCAACAAGCUAAAAACAGUAGUUGAGUGCAUACACCCUGAAUUGCAUAUUCAGUUGCAAAAUCAUCAUCAUUAUUAUUGUAAUUACAGAGGGGAGGCAUUUCAAUAAUUGUUCAAAGUGUCUUCUUGAGGAAAUAACUAAAUCAGGGCCAGCUGUCACAAACCAAUCUACAAUAAUGAUCCCCGUAUGUGCAUCUUCAGUAUUCAUAGCAACGCUACAAUAACAGAUUUGUACAUUCAUCUAAUGUCCCUAAACAACCGAAAAAAUAGCAAACUAUGAUCAGAUCUGAUGUCUCACUUGGUAGUUGACCUA